AUGUUAGCGCCAAAGCUCGAGACUAUCAAGAUAAGGGGCUGCUGGAGCCUCGGGCGCUUGCCCACCGUUGCCAAGCAAUACCCCGAGGUGGACUGCGAGAAUGAUUGGUGGGAUAACUUGGAGUGGGACGAAGGGGGUGUGAACCACCACCCUUCGCUCUACAAACCGACCCACUCGAGGUACUACAAGAAGGCCCAGUUGCCGAGAGGCACCGUACUCAGGUGA
rnacentral:rRNA from 1 species